UUCAUCUUUGUAUUGUUUGCCCUAAGCACUGGUCCUGGCACUAAUAGCAAGCAAUGAACAUCUGUUCAAUAAAAGGAGAAUGAGAACUGUAGUUAGAGAGUAGAAAGAGCCAUUCUCCUAAGUGAACUUAUCCUUUCUUUACCCAAUUCUCCCUGAGGACAGUCAUUAUUCACAUAAGCAAGAAAACUAAACUAUUCAUUUAUUACAGAAAGUGAAGCCUGUGAAAAUUGAAUAAAGGAGGUGAAUCACAAUCUGGAGCUGACUUAAGAGGAUGAAUUCAAUGACAGCUACCUCAUAGGUUUGUUCUAAAAAAAAAUGUAAAAUUGUGUAAGUUAACACAGUGUCUGUAAAACC
rnacentral:lncRNA from 10 species